rnacentral:rRNA from 1 species
GAAUUCGCCCUUAGAGUUUUAUCCUGGCUCAGGACGAACGCUGGCGGCGUGCUUAACACAUGCAAGUCGAACGGAGUACCCUCGAAAGAGAUUUCGGUCAAUGGAGAGGACUACUUAGUGGCGGACGGGUGAGUAACGCGUGAGGAACCUGCCUUUCAGUGGGGGACAACAGUUGGAAACGACUGCUAAUACCGCAUAACGUACUGGUAUCGCAUGGUACUGGUACCAAAGAUUUAUCGCUGAGAGAUGGCCUCGCGUCUGAUUAGCUAGUUGGUAGGGUAACGGCCUACCAAGGCGACGAUCAGUAGCCGGACUGAGAGGUUGGCCGGCCACAUUGGGACUGAGAUACGGCCCAGACUCCUACGGGAGGCAGCAGUGGGGAAUAUUGGGCAAUGGGCGCAAGCCUGACCCAGCAACGCCGCGUGAAGGAAGAAGGCUUUCGGGUUGUAAACUUCUUUUGACAGGGAAGAGCAGAAGACGGUACCUGUCGAAUAAGCCACGGCUAACUACGUGCCAGCAGCCGCGGUAAUACGUAGGUGGCAAGCGUUGUCCGGAUUUACUGGGUGUAAAGGGCGUGUAGCCGGGCUGACAAGUCAGAUGUGAAAUCCGGGGGCUCAACCCCCGAACUGCAUUUGAAACUGUUGGUCUUGAGUAUCGGAGAGGCAGGCGGAAUUCCUAGUGUAGCGGUGAAAUGCGUAGAUAUUAGGAGGAACACCAGUGGCGAAGGCGGCCUGCUGGACGACAACUGACGGUGAGGCGCGAAAGCGUGGGGAGCAAACCAGGAUUAGAUACCCUGGUAGUCCACGCUGUAAACGAUGGAUACUAGGUGUGCGGGGGACUGACCCCCUGCGUGCCGCAGCUAACGCAAUAAGUAUCCCACCUGGGGAGUACGAUCGCAAGGUUGAAACUCAAAGGAAUUGACGGGGGCCCGCACAAGCGGUGGAUUAUGUGGUUUAAUUCGAUGCAACGCGAAGAACCUUACCAGGGCUUGACAUCCUACUAACGAAGUAGAGAUACAUUAGGUACCCUUCGGGGGAAGUAGAGACAGGUGGUGCAUGGUUGUCGUCAGCUCGUGUCGUGAGAUGUUGGGUUAAGUCCCGCAACGAGCGCAACCCUUAUUGUUAGUUGCUACGCAAGAGCACUCUAGCGAGACUGCCGUUGACAAAACGGAGGAAGGUGGGGACGACGUCAAAUCAUCAUGCCCCUUAUGUCCUGGGCUACACACGUAAUACAAUGGCGGUCAACAGAGGGAUGCAAAACCGUGAGGUGGAGCGAACCCCUAAAAGCCGUCCCAGUUCAGAUCGCAGUCUGCAACCCGACUGCGUGAAGUCGGAAUCGCUAGUAAUCGCGGAUCAGCAUGCCGCGGUGAAUACGUUCCCGGGCCUUGCACUCACCGCCCGUCA